rnacentral:rRNA from 1 species
UACAGAGGGUGCAAGCGUUAAUCGGAUUUACUGGGCGUAAAGCGUGCGUAGGCGGUUCAGUAUGUCGGUCGUGAAAUCCCCGGGCUUACCCUGGGAACUGCGGCCGAAACUGCUGAGCUUGAGUGUGGUAGAGGAAGGUGGAAUUCCAGGUGUAGCGGUGAAAUGCGUAGAUAUCUGGAGGAACACCGAUGGCGAAGGCAGCCUUCUGGGCCACAACUGACGCUGAGAUACGAAAGCGUGGGUAGCAAACAGG